UUCCAGCAUCCUCUUCCUCUUUUUCAUUCGAUCCUUUUGCGCCGUUUGCUUCUCUCCUCCCGUUUCGACAAUGUCUUCGUGCGAUGUUUGCAACCGUUGCGGAUGCGGAUGCACGACCUGCGAGUAAGUUUCUCUCUUCAGUUCGUUUCCCUGCAAUGCAAAAGCUUACUUUGCCCAUCCUCGUGUCGUGCUUUGUAUUCAUUCCACAGCUGCAAGCGGAGGAAUCCAACUCUCGCGGCCUUCAACUUCGCUCCCGCCGCUCCAGAGGCAACUCCUGCCAUGGUUUCACCGAGGUAAGCAACUGUACCACCUCUGCUGCAUUGCAUUACUUACCACUUAGCUCUCUGGAUCUCAGUGGAGAGGACGCCGUGCUGGUAGCAACACCAGGUGCCGAGUGCGAGACCUCCAUCACCAAUGCAGGGGACGCAACCACAGUUCUUCCCAUGUGGGCCUGAAGCCAUGGUCGCAAGUCCUUGUCCUGCAAGGAAUCAGUCCUGAGUUAGAUUGUGAGUUAUCAACCAUUAGCGACAAUAUCAGGAUACAAUAAAGAAUGGAGGAAGAAUAGAGCCAUUCUUCUUCUUACCUUA
rnacentral:lncRNA from 1 species